AACACUGCCUUGAUUGUUUGAAACAAACAAAAGGUUGAAGAACAUUACUUAUAUUUCUAAAUAAAAGAUGUAAUUUAUAUUCCCUAAUAAACUAACCAGAGGUAAUCACUUUGUCCUUAUCUACAUUACUAAUGUUUUCUACAAUAGUUUUAGUUUUAAAUAUAUAGUAUGGCUAGAAAUGUGUUUUUGUUUCCUAUUGAAAAGUGACGUCAUUUCAAAUAGACCUGAAAUAGUUACACAGUCAGAUUAAGAAUCAACUUGUUUAUAAAGCUUUAUAAGCAUAAGAAGGUCUGAACUUGAGUCAGGUUGAAUAAUUUCUGUAUAUUGUAUUUUGAAACCUGUCUUUGGGGUAAUUAAACUUUUUGUCUUUUUGUGAGUUCUGUCUCUAAUCUCAGGAUUUUCAUUGGUCAGUGUACAUUCGGUGACAGUUUCUGACCAAUCAAAUACUUGAGAUCUGAGUUUGAGCUACGAAAAUUUUUUUAUAAACUCUUGCCCAGAUUCUGAAGUCGCAAUGCUAUCUUUUUAAGGAAUACCUGAUCCUUGCUUUACAGAUUUUCCCACUUACUGUUUUGGAACAUAAUACAUUUUGUAGUUGAAGAUUGUGAAGAUGCCAUUAUUUUUUGUAUAUUGUGUAGAUACAAAUUUGUAUUGAUUAAUUAUACACGUGUAUAUUACACUUAGUAGUAUAUGAUAUUGCCAUAUGUUAGAAAAUUAGUGCUUUAUUUUGUUGUAUCAAAUUUUUACAUUUUCAAAACUUACUUUUAUAUCAGCAUUUUUAGUGUCCCGUAAUAUAAUUAUGCUUGCACCUUUUUGCAAUUUAAAGUACUGUUGCAUUUGAAAUAACGUUUGAAGUAGAUGAUAAAUUUGAAAACCAUACUUUUGUUGCAUGUAAUUUUACAUUAAAGUAUAACUUAAAAGAUGAAAAUAUACUAACCAUAACAUGGCCAGGAACAUUUAUACUUUUGCAAUUAUCUUCCAUAUUUGUUUUUUAAUUAUUGCUUGACACAAAACAGUUUAUUUCAGGGUUGAAAUUUUUGAUAGAUUAUUUAUACAUGUGGGAUAAAUUCUUGCCAUACUUUGUAACAAUGUUUUUGUUUAUAACAAUUUUUAUGCCACCACUUAAAAACGAGGAGCAUACUGUGAUUGGGUGGGUCAUCUUUUCGUAUGUAGGUCCUGUUAUUUUUGUCUGAACAAUUUUGUCAGAAGGUAUAAGCAGUGGUAUAUGUAACUUGGUAAGGACAUUGCACACAACCAGUAGAUGGCCUCUAUUGGUCUUGAGGUUAUUAGGCCAAAGAUCAUAGUAACACUUUGUGUAAAAAACAAACUUAUCUUAUCAAUAACUUAAAAAUACUUAAUUCAAAGUUAUCCUUCUAAGAUGCCAUGAAACACACGUUUUGAGAGAUAUUUUCUUGGUAUUUUUCCUGUUAUAUAAAACAUUGAUAUAUACACACUGACAUUCCAUAAUCUUUCUUUUUUUCUGUAUAUACCACAUAAGAAAACCUAUUGUUGGAAAUUAGAAAAAUAAAUAACAUGCUUUUUGUUCAAACUUUUACUUUGGGUUAUUUUCUGGGUUUUUUUUGUACUAGAUGAGCAUAAAAUCAAUGUUGUAACAAAAAAUUAAAUGUGAUAUUUGUUGUGCUUUUUUCGUGAUUUUGUUGACAUGAACACUAUUCUUACAUUUUUGUAAGAUGUUUUGUUUUUUUAGUAAUUAUAGAUUAUUGUUUUGGUGAUAAAACAUCAGUUAUUUGAUGGUGAUAUUCUUUUGUCAAAACGCUUAAAUUGACAGUGCAAUAACAUUAUCUAAGGGUGUCUAAAGAUCAUUUUGUAAUUCAUCUUAGCCCAUUUUGGGAUAGUAAAAAGUUAUAUGUCUGUCCUCAUGAUAAGAAUCAAUGGAAUCAUGUCUUCCAGAUGCCUGAUUUUCAUGAUUUUUUUUAUAAUUUCAGUUUGUAAAUGUGUUCUCCCUGUCAAUAAACUGUUUAGAAAAUAUUAUGCACAGAUCUAGAGAGUGGCAGAUUAAGUGAACCUAGUAUAAUAACAACCCUCUCUGAAAUAUGCACUUUGCCAAAAUUUUGUGAUCAACCUUUGCAAAAAGUCCUUAAUCUGCACCCGAGUAUCUAGUGAAAUUCAGUGAAAUGCGAGUUCUAGUGAAAUGCGAGUAUCUAGUGAAAUGCGUUCACAAUUUUUAGCUCACCUGUCACAAAGUGACAGGGUGAGCUUUUGUGAUCGCUUUUCGUCCGGCGUCCGUCCGUCCGGCGUCCGUCCGUAAACUUUUACUUUAAAUGACAUCUCCUCAUAAACCACUUAGCCAAUUUCAUCCAAACUUCACAGGAAUGUUCCUUUGGUGGUCACCUUUAAAAAUUGUUCAAAGAAUUUAAUUCCAUGCAGAACUCUGGUUGCCAUGGCAACCAAAAGAAAAAACUUUAAAUAUCUUCUUUUAAAAAACCGAAAGAGCUAGAGCUUAGAUAUUUGGCAUGAAACAUCUUCUACUGAGUGUCUACCAAGAUUGUUCAAAUAAAAGCCCUGGGGUCAAAAUUGGCCCCGCCCCAGGGUGUCAUUGAUUUUCCCUAUAUGCAUAUAGUAAAAACUUAAAAAAUCUUUUUUUAAAGAACCCAAAGAGCUAGAGCUAAGAUAUUUAGCAUGAAACAUCUUCUAAUGAGUGUCUACCAAGUUUGUUCAAAUAAAAGCCCUGGGGUCAAAAUUGGCCUCGUCCAGGGGGUCAUUGAUUUUCCCUGUAUGCAUAUAGUAAAAAUUUAAAAGUCUUCUUUUAAAGAACUCAUGGAGCUAGAGCUAAGAUAUUUAGCAUGAAACAUGUUUUAAUAGGUGUCUACCAAGUUUGUUCAAAUAAAAGCCCUGGGGUCAAAAUUGGCUCCGCCCCAGGGGGUCAUUGAUUUUCCCUAUAUGUAUAUAGUAAAAACUUAAAAAAUCUUCUUUUAAAGAACUCAAAGAGCUAGAGCUAAGAUAUUUAGCAUGAUACAUGUUCUAAUGGGUUUCUACCAAGUUUGUUCAAAUAAAAGCCCUGGGGUCAAAAUUGGCCCCGCCCCAGGGGGUCAUUGAUUUUCCCUAUAUGUAUAUAGUAAAAACUUAAAAAAUCUUCUUUUAAAGAACUCAAAGAGCUAGAGCUAAGAUAUUUAAUUAGCAUGAAACAUGUUCUAAUGGGUGUCUACCAAGUUUGUUCAAAUUAAAGCCUUGGGGUCAAAAUUGGCCCCGCCCCAGGGGGUCAUUGAUUUUCCCUAUAUGUACAUGUGUAUAGUAAAAACUUAAAAAAUCUUCUUUUAAAGAACUCAAAGAGCUAGAGCUAAGAUAUUUAGCAUGAAACAUGUUCUAAUGGGUGUCUACCAAGUUUGUUCAAAUAAGAGCCCUGGGGUCAAAAUUGGCCCCGCCCCGGGGGUCAUUGAUUUUCCUUAUAUAUGUGUAUAUCAAAAACUUAAAAAGUAUUCUUUGAAAAAACCUAAAUAGCUAGAGUUAAGAUAUUAAGCAUGAAACAUCUUCUAGUGAGUGUCUACAAAGUUUGUUCAAAUAAAAGCCCUGGGUCAAAAUUGGCCCUGCCCUGGGGGUCAUUGAUUUUCCUUAUAUGUGUAUAGGAAAAACUUAAAAAACAUCUUUUGAAAAAACCCAAAUAGCUAGAGUUUAGAUAUUAAGCAUGAAACAUGUUCUAGUAAGUGUCUACAAAGUUUGUUCAAAUAAAAGCCCUGGGGUCAAAACUGGCACCGCCCCAGGGGUAUCAUUGUUUUUAACUAUAUGUGUAUAGUAAAAACUUAAAAAAUCUUCUUUAAAAAAACACAAUGAGCUACAGCUUAGAUGUUUAGCAUGAAACAUCUUCUUAUGGGUGUCUUCCAAGUUUGUUCAAAUAAAAGCCCUGGGGUUUAAACUGGCCCCGCUCCGGGGGCCUACAUACAGGUGAGCGACCUUAGGGCCAUCAUGGCCCUCUUGUUAUCUUUACUCCCAAAAGGCAUGAUAUGCAUAUACAACGAAGAAUUAUUGAAAGAUAUAAACCUGAAAUAUAUUACUAUAUUCUUUUAUUUUAAAAUGGUUAAAUGUUAUGAAGUUAUUUUAGACAAAGGGAUGCACCAUCUUUAACACUGCCUUUAGCUAAUCAGUGUUGCACCAGGGCGUUAUACUUGUAAAUACAUUGUAUGUACAUGUAUAUCAAAACUCUUUAAUGACUUAGUAUUCCACAGUUGAUAUAAUAUAUGGUCAGAUAUACCGGUAAAUGAUAUACAGAUAGAAUCAAGUUAGUGCUUUUGGUAUCAUUUACAUGUAUAUAGAAAUGUAGUAUAUAUUAUGCUGCAUUUAGAUUAAGUCAAUUGUGUUUUGAUAUAAAUAAAAUGUAAUUCUCGUAUCAAAA